rnacentral:rRNA from 1 species
GACGAACGCUGGCGGCGUGCCUAAUACAUGCAAGUCGAACGAGUGGCGGACGGGUGAGUGAUGUCUGGGAAACUGCCUGAUGGAGGGGGAUAACUACUGGAAACGGUAGCUAAUACCGCAUACCAUCGGAUGUGCCCAGAUGGGAUUAGCUAGUAGGUGGGGUAAAGGCUCACCUAGGCGACGAUCCCUAGCUGGUCUGAGAGGAUGACCAGCACCACUGGAACUGAGACACGGUCCAGACUCCUACGGGAGGCAGCAGUGGGGAAUAUUGCACAAUGGGCGCAAGCCUGAUGCAGCCAUGCCGCGUGUAUGAAGAAGGUCUUCGGAUUGUAAAGCACUUUAAGUUGGGAGGCGUUACCAACAGAAUAAGCACCGGCUAACUUCGUGCCAGCAGCCGCGGUAAUAC